rnacentral:rRNA from 1 species
GACGAACGCUGGCGGCGUGCUUAACACAUGCAAGUCGAACGAUGAAGCCGGAGCUUGCUCUGGUGGAUUAGUGGCGAACGGGUGAGUAACACGUGAGUAACCUGCCCUUGACUCUGGGAUAAGCGUUGGAAACGACGUCUAAUACCGGAUACGAGCUAGGACCGCAUGGUCACUAGCUGGAAAGAACUUCGGUCAAGGAUGGACUCGCGGCCUAUCAGUUAGUUGGGGAGGUAACGGCUCACCAAGACGACGACGGGUAGCCGGCCUGAGAGGGGGACCGGCCACACUGGGACUGAGACACGGCCCAGACUCCUACGGGAGGCAGCAGUGGGGAAUAUUACACAAUGGGCGCAAGCCUGAUGCAGCAACGCCGCGUGAGGGACGACGGCCUUCGGGUUGUAAACCUCUUUUAGCAGGGAAGAAGCGAAAGUGACGGUACCUGCAGAAAAAGCACCGGCUAACUACGUGCCAGCAGCCGCAGUAAAAC